rnacentral:tRNA from 1 species
GAGGGUACAGCUGAGUAGCAGAGCGUGUGCCUAGCAUGCACAAGGUCCUGGGUUCAGUCCCCAGUACCUCCA